GUCUAUGGCCAUGCCACCCUAAACAAGCCCGAUCCCAUCUGAUAUUGGAAGCUAAGCAGGGUCGGGCCUGGUUAGUACUUGGAUAGGAGACCACCUAGGAAGACCAGGUGCUAUAGGCA
rnacentral:rRNA from 1 species